rnacentral:lncRNA from 1 species
UUGAUUUAUGCUGUAGAUCCACUGGCCAGUCCGCAUGAAAAGUGGAUCAGUUGAAUUCAAGAAUGAAAAUCUGAUUCAACCAGACAUUCCCAGCACAUGGAGAGCAAUGGAGGCACUUUAUGACUCUGGCAAGGCUAGAGCCAUUGGAGUGAGGAAUUUCUCUUCAAAGAAGCUUCAAGAUUUGUUGGAUAUAGCAAGAGUACCUCCUGCUGUUAACCAAGUGGAAUUGCACCCAGGAUGGCAACAACCAAAGUUGCAUGCAUUUUGUGAAUCUAAAGGAAUACAUAUAUCUGUAAGUAUGGAAUGUAUGAUACACACUUGUUGGUACUUUCACAAAAAUACGAGCCUGUUAUUCCUGUAAGUUAUUAGUUGCAAAGAAAAUGAUCACUUUUGGUGAAAUUGUCUACAGGGCUAGUUGAAAAUGAAUUUGGUUUGUACUCAAAUUAAAUUGAUGGUUUCUCAACAACCAUUCUUUAUUAUUCUGAUAUUUUCAUUCUAAUUGUAUAUAUGAUGAAUUUCUUUCCAGGGCUACUCUCCACUAGGCUCACCAGAGUAUCUGAAAAGUGACAUUCUUAAGAAUCCUGUUGUGGUAGAGAUUGCAGAGAAAUUGGGGAAGACACCAGCUCAAGUGGCCCUCAGGUGGGGAUUGCAAUCAGGUCAUAGUGUGCUGCCAAAAAGUACUAAUGAGUCCAGGAUCAUGGGAAACUUUGAUGUCUUUGACUGGUCUAUUCAAGAAGAACUAAUGGCCAAGUUCUCUGAAAUCAAGCAGGCAAGUAGUUAGUUAAUUAGGGUGUGUUUAAUUUCUUUUUCAAAAGCUUUUUCUAGUUUAAAAGAUUCAAUUAAACCUUACCUAAGGCUUAAAACAAGAAGAGAAACAUUCUGUUCUUUUAGACUUUAAAAUACUUAUUUUGAAAUAAUUUUCAAAACUUCAUACAUUUUGGAUCAUAAAUUUUCAAAACUUAAAAGAUUAUGGAUGACUAAUGAAUUGGUGAGUGAGUCCUGUGAAAUUAUUAUGUAAAACAAUUUUUAAAAGAAAAAAAAGGUGCGAGAAGGGAAUUAAACAUGCCCUUGGUAGAAUCUAGUUUUCUGUUCUUUCUGGUAUGUGGUUGCUUACCAUCUUUAAUUACCUUGAAUUAUGCUUGUGUGCCAUAGCAUUAUAAUCCCAUCAAUGGCCUUAAAGCUUGAUUUUUUUUGAAUUAAAAGAAGGAAUUUGGUGAUGCAGGAAAGGCUACUUAAGGCCACAUUUUUUACCGACGAGACCUAUGGUGCCUAUAAGACCAUUGAAGAACUCUGGGAUGGUGAACUCUGACAAAUGUCCAUCAUUGAGACGUUGAAAUUUACAUUGUUCCUCAAGAAGACUGGUUCUUACUUUUUACCUGUUUUAACAGUGUUAUUAUUGUUAAAGAACACAAAAUAAGUAACCAAGUCUUAUUUUUCAUUUAUGAUUAUUUUUCUACUCGAUAUAAUAAAAAUGAGGGUUGAGAAUUUGACUAAUCUAAAAGGAGUUAAUUAGUAACUAAUUAGACAUUAAUUUAGAAACUAGUUUAUAAAUUUUAUUAAUAACAAAAAUAUUUUAGAUAUUAAUAAUUUUUUUAUUCUCUAAAACUGUAUCUAAUUUAGUUGAUAUAAUUGUACUUGUAUAGACGAAAUGGGCCUAGAUAGUACCUGUGAUUGAGUGUAACAACUGUUGUGAUGUCAGUCGCUUAGUAAUCCUCUUAUUCCUCAGUACUUCAUUCCUUCAAACGUCAAGACUCUUUCUUCGUAAUCCCCUCAGUGCUUGUUCGGGAGUUAACCUGCAAAAGGUACUCUGACGAUCAAAUAAGUAAUAUGUAUUAAGAGUGUAUAAUGAAAAUGAUAAAAAACAUACCUUACUCCACUCUGGAGAACAUAUUUAUAAAAUUGAGUUAUGUGGCCAUAUGUUUGAUGAGUCAAAUCUAGUAUGUAUCAGUAUUAGCUGAUUUCUAGGGAAGUUAACCUGAUUUCUCAGGACAUUACCCGAAUUUGAUGGGAUGUGACCAUGAUUCAUAGGGAGUUCCCACAAUUGCCUUAAUUGUCAUUUAUUACAACGCAGGAAGUCACAUAACCCUAGAAAAUUAGGUUAAAUAGGAGGCUAGAUGCACAAUCCUAGGAUGCUAGAUUGAGAGGAAAAAAUCAUAGAGUGAAUUGUAACCCAAUUGGGAAUAGAAGGUUCUAGAAGUAUGCGUGACUAAUUCUACCCUUUGGGAUUAAGAGUAAUCUGCUCAAACUCUUAUGUACUGAGGUGAUAUCUUAUAUAUUAAUAUUUAGUUCUUGAUUGAUUAUUGGUAUUGUUGUUUUACUUUUAACUUUCUGUGACAAAUUGAAAAUCUUAAAUCUGACAGGGAGGUGUUUUUAGGGUUCAGACCUAAAUAACAAUACUUACCAUAUUUGAGUGUUAGGAAUACACUUGAAAUGUUAAUUGACAUUAAUGUCUGAGUGUGAUUCUAAGUUGUUUUUAUAAAUAUGUGAGGGAUAGAUAUUUACGAAACAUUCUUAAGGAUUUUUAUAUGCGAGGAAUCGAUAUAAAUGAAUUUUCUACGGGCAUCAAUUUCAAUAAAAAAACUUAAUAUUAACAUGCUAAUCAAAAUACAUGAGAGUGAGAGAGAUGAAACCUAAUCCCUAUUUUUCCAAUUGAAGCAAUUAAUUCUUUGUUUGUUUUCUUAUUAAUCAUUGCCAACAUGAUUACGUGAACACUUUUUUUAAUUGUUUUUGUUUUAUAUUUAGUGAUCAUUGUAGUUAGUAAUUCACUAUUUCCUGCGGGAUCGAUAUUCGUCCUUACGGACAAUUAUUACUUAUGACAAAGCAGUGCACUUGUCGGAAAAAGUCAUCACCCCCUGUAGGCAUCCCCAAGUAUUUGGAAGGAGUUUUCAUAACAUCACAAUUAAGAAUAGCUGCAAAACAAUAAAUCAUAAAUUGAUCAACCCCCACCCCUCAAAUACUACUCUUCAAGACGUAGCUCAAAAAAAUUGAAAAUAGCCUUUAUGUUGAACAUGCUUUUGGUAGUCACUUUGCAAAAAAAACAAAGUAUCAUCAACAUAUUGAAGCAUAUUAACCUUAACCUUCUUAUCCCCAAUCUCCAAACUUUCCAUCAAAUCUUUCUCAACCACUUUCCUUAACACUCCUGCUAAGCUUUUAGCCGUUAUAAGAAACAAAAUUGGAGCUAAGGGAUCUCCUUGUCUCAAAUCCUUUAACAGAAAAAAUUCCUUAGCCAAGCUACCAUUUACGAGAACAGACACAGAAGCAUACUCUAAACAAGAUUUAAUCCAAACAAUCCAUUUUUAACAUAAGCCUAAUCUUCCUAACAUAUAAUAGAUAAACUCCCACCUCACAUAAUCGUAAGCCUUCUCAUAAUCCACCUUGAAAAAGACACAACUUUUCUUCUUUCUUUUUGCCUCCUCUGACACCUCAUUGGCCACAGGAACACUAUCCAAUAGUCCCCUUCCUUUGAGAAUAGUUGAUUGCCUUGAAUCAAUGACUUUAAUAAUCACCAUUUUUAGCCUUAAAGAUAGUAACUUCAAAAUAAUUUUGUACUAGCACUCGACCAAAGUAAUGGAUCUAAAAUCACGAAGUUGUUGUGGAUUCUCUGACUUAGGGACCAAGCAAACAAACGAAACAUUCGACCAUCUAAGCCAUUUAUCAGAAAUUGCGAAAUCAUUCACUAUCAUAAGGAUAUCCCCUUAAAAAAACCCACAAAACUUAAUGAAACUAAAAUUAAACCCAUCCGAACCAGGACUUUUCGAACUAUCACAACUCCAAAUAGCAAACUUGACUUCCUCUUCAAAAAAAGAACUAACCAACAUCUCGUUGCCAACAUCAUAAUAGAAUUAAAGGACACACUAUCCAACCUGACCUGAGGCCCAACAACUCCUUCAAAUCUAAUCUUAAAGAAAUCUCUAACCUUGUCCUUAACCACCUCCUUGUCUUCACAUCAGAGACCAUUAACAAACAAAUCAUUAAACCCCUUCCUCACCCUCCUCCAUUUUACAUCCAAAUGGAAAAACUUUGAAUUAAGGUCACCAUGUUUCAGCCACUUAAGGCGGGCUUUCUGAUGAAUAAUAACUUCUUGUUUAAAUAAAUUUCUGUGUUUUUUCUUUUUUGCUAACAAGGUCCUCAUCUCCUCUCUUCCUUCCUCGUCUAAGACGCCUUCAUCAUCACGUGCAUCCAACUCUUGGAUUUUCUUUUGUAGAACUUCCCCUAUCUGAAUAACAUUGCUAAACACAUCUCUAUUCCAGAUUUUUAAAUUUGAUUUUAACUUUUUAAUUUUUCUUUUAGAACAAACAUCCCUAUGCCAUGUACCUCACAACUAAACUAUUUACAACGUACACAAUCUUUGAAUCUGCUGUCACUUUUCCAAAUAUCGAGACUUUGAAAUGGUUUCGGCUCCCAAUCCAAACUAGUAUCUUUUAACACUAAAGCACAAUGAUCAAAGACAGAUAUACUUAUUACAAACUAUUUACUACUCGACCACUCUUCCAACCAUUCCUUGAAAUCCAAAACUUUGUCAAUUCUACUUUUAACAGACCCAUUCGAUUUGUACCAAGUAAAUUUCCGACCAACCAUCGCAAUAUCCACCAAGUCAUCUUUUUUCUAUAAAAUUAUUAAAGCCACUUAUUUUACCCUAUAAUCAGACACAUAAAUCAAAUUUUUUCUCUCCUCCUUCCUUCUAAUAGAAUUGAAAUCCCAUACAACGCAUCAGUCCCUGUUUAAUUGGCUCAACCUGAAUACACUGGUCUCAUCCCAAAUCAUCUUUUUUUCCCUCAACGAACCAGUAAACAUUCACAGUAGUAACUUGUAUCCCGUCACCAAACAUCCACUCCCUUUCAAUAAUAGAAUUUUUUUUUCCAUUAAAAGACCUUGAUAACUAAAAGCAGUUCCUUCUCCACAUUGUAAUAAUCUCUCUUGCAUUAUUGCUAGUACCAUUUUCAACCUAAUCAAUUUCAUUAGAAUCCCACAAAUUAAAACAAUUCUCUUUGUCAAACUCUGAACACUUAGUCUCUUGAAUACAUACAAUUCUUACUUGUUCCUUGUAAAUUAAAUCUUUUAGAAAUCUUCUUUUAAUGUUUCCUCCUAACCCCCUAAUAUUCAAACUAAUUAUUUUCAUCAUUAGAAACAAUGUUCUCAUUCCUUUUGAAACUCGUCUUACUUUUGUCUCGAUCUUCCAAAGACAAUAAACUACUUAAAACCACAUCUUCCUCACCAUUAAGCAAAAAGCCCAGCUCUUUACAAAUAUUUCAAAAUUUUAAACACUACAAGAAAAACAUGAAAUAGAAACCAAAUUUAGAGACCAAAAACAAUAAGUUGCUAUAGUAACUAAAUUAGAGAUCAUUUUAGAAACUAAAAAAAAAAUGGUUUCUAAAGUAGUUUCUAUUACAAUUUCUAACAAUACUAUAAUACUAUAAUAUAAAGUAAUAAAAUUUCCUAACCUCUCGACUGACAACUCUCUCUAAGAAAAAAAAAAUGUUGUAUAAAGAUAAACAAAUUUUAUCAUGUCAAUAUAAAAAACAAUUAAUUAUCCAAAAAUUUGGUAGAAUAAACUUUUUUUUCUUACAUUCAUUUGAUUUACUUUUUAAAAAGAUGGCAAUUUUCAUGAGUUAAGGUUUCUGGGAAUGGUUUUAGCCAAAUUUUCAAAAAAACAUUUUGUGAGAGAUAUGCGUAACGAAUUUAUUUUUAGAAGUAAAUAAAAUUUACUAAAAGUAAAACCGUAUUAUUUUUAUUAAAUCGUUUAUAAUAUGGUAAAAUUUACAUGCGUCAUUUCACCGUCCUUUUAUUUGUUUAGGGUGACCUCAUCAUUUGUGCCAAUAUAGUAAUUGCUUCAAAAUAUUAAAAUUUAACGCAUUUCAAUUUUUGCGGUCACUCUUAUCCUUUAGGUAAUUAAACAUUUAUUUUUAAUUGAGACAAAUAUUUUUUUUCUGACAAUCAUCGAUACUUAAUGAAUAUUUAAGAAUGGUUUGAAUUAAGUGUGUGUCGGAAUAGGUAUAACUGGUCACUGUUGGGAAUCUAAUCCACCCUUAAAUGAUUCAUGUUCAUGUUUUCGCCCAUAAAUUGCAUCGAACUCAAACCACCCAUUAGCAGUGUUUGGAUAUUAUUCUACCAAUUUGUGCUUAUUAUUAUUAUUAUUGAGAGAAAAAAUGGGCAAGUUAAUCCAAUUCUUUGAGUUGAACACAGGGGCCAAAAUCCCUUCUAUUGGGUUAGGCACAGCGAAAGCUGAACCAGGAGUUGUACCAAAAGCUGUCACCACAGCCAUUCAGGUAACUAAAACUUUAUUUCAAUUAAUUUUUUCCCCUUUUUCUAUCGAAACAUUUUUGUUGUUUCGAUUUGUCCUAUGUAGGAGUGAUAAUGAUUUUGAUGUCGGGUCACUGUUGUUCAGGUUGGAUACAGGCACAUUGACUGUGCUCAAUUUUAUGACAAUCAAGCAGAGGUAAUAAUGAUUCAAGUUGAUAACUUUUGUAGUCCAGGGUCCAUUUUUUUCUCAUCUUUUCAAUUUUUUAUUUUGUAAUAUUGCCUUUGCUCUCUUGUAAUAUGUGAACUGUGGAAAAUUUUUAAUUGUGGGAUGUUUCAGGUUGUGCUAUUAUUGUUAUGUAGUUUUGUUUUAACAAAAAUAGAAAAGUAGUGAGAACUCAGUCAAUUUUGGAAGCUAAUUUUCAUUUUAUUUUGAAUCAUGGUUUUCCCAGAUUGGUUCUGCACUUAAGAAAGUUUUUGAUGAUGGCGUGGUGAAGCGUGAGGACUUAUGGAUAACUUCCAAACUCUGGUUUGCUGUCUUUUGAAAAUUGUGUUCUAUGUUUGAACGUUGGAAAAGGUUGUGUGUUUGGUUGCUGAAUGGAGAUCCUUUGCUCUGUUGGCUAUAUUUUCAGGUGUACUGAUCAUGCUCCAGAAGAUGUGCCAAAAGCAUUGGAUAAAACAUUACAGGACUUGCAACUUGACUACCUUGAUCUCUAUCUGGUAAGCAUGCAUUAUGUUUACUGAUAAUGGGACUCAAGAUUUCAAUCAAUAGGAUCUUUUUGAAAAAGAGGGUCUAAGAGUAUAUUGUUAACAUUGUUUUACAAAUAAGGCUUUCACAAGUGAACAAUGUUCAAUGGUUUCAUUCAUGUAAUUCUACUAACUUUGGUUAUCUGGGGUUCAUUCAGUAUUAUUUUGAGUCUCUUCCUUCAUACAAACUAAAUUGAUUUAUGGUGUAGAUCCACUGGCCAGUCCGCAUGAAAAGUGGAUCAGUUGGAUUCAAGAAUGAAAAUCUGAUUCAACCAGACAUUCCCAGCACAUGGAGAGCAAUGGAAGCACUCUAUGACUCUGGCAAGGCUAGAGCCAUAGGAGUGAGCAAUUUCUCUUCAAAGAAGCUUCAAGAUUUGUUGGAUAUAGCAAGAGUGCCUCCUGCUGUUAACCAAGUGGAAUUGCACCCAGGAUGGCAACAACCAAAGUUGCAUGCAUUUUG